rnacentral:rRNA from 1 species
GACGAGUCUCACGAACGUUAUUCGGAAUUACUGGGCUUAAAGGGUGCGUAGGCGGUGAAGUAAGUCGGAUGUGAAAUACCUUAGCUUAACUAGGGAACUGCACUCGAUACUACUUUGCUAGAGUAAGACAGAGGUGAGUGGAACUGAGGGUGGAGCGGUGAAAUGCGUAGAUAUGUGGAGGAACACCAGUGGCGAAGGCGACUCUCUGGUCUGUAACUGACGCUGAGGCGCGAAAGCGUGGGGAGCAAACAGG